GACGAACGCUGGCGGCGUGCCUAAUACAUGCAAGUCGAACGAAGUGGCGAACGGGUGAGUAAUACGUGGGUAACCUGCCCUCCUUUUUGGGAUAAGCCUUGGAAACGGGGUCUAAUACCGAAUAAAGGGGGAUGGGUUCGCGGCCUAUCAGCAUGUUGGGGGGGUGAUGGCCGACCAAGUCGGUGACGGGUAGCCGGCCUGUGAGGGUGACGGGACACAUUGGGAGUGCGAGACGGCCCAGGUUGCUAGGGGAGGGAGCAGUUGGGGAUAGUGCAAAAGGCGGGAUGGGCUGAUGCGUGGACUCCGCGUGGGGUAUGAAGUCUUUAGGGUUUGAAACUUCUUACGAUAUCGAACGGGUAGGUGGAGAGAAAGCGCCGGCUAACUACGUGCCAGCAGCCGCGGUAAUUC
rnacentral:rRNA from 1 species